rnacentral:rRNA from 1 species
AACGAACGCUGGCGGCAGGCCUAACACGUGCAAGUCGAACGCUGUAGCAAUACAGAGUGGCAGACGGGUGAGUAACGCGCGGGAACGUGCCCUUCGGUUCGGAAUAACUCAGGGAAACUUGAGCUAAUACCGGAUACGCCCUUUUGGGGAAAGAUUUAUUGCCGAAGGAUCGGCCCGCGUCCGAUUAGCUAGUUGGUGUGGUAAUGGCGCACCAAGGCGACGAUCGGUAGCUGGUCUGAGAGGAUGAUCAGCCACACUGGGACUGAGACACGGCCCAGACUCCUACGGGAGGCAGCAGUGGGGAAUAUUGGACAAUGGGCGCAAGCCUGAUCCAGCCAUGCCGCGUGAGUGAUGAAGGCCCUAGGGUUGUAAAGCUCUUUCGCCAGGGACGAUAAUGACGGUACCUGGAUAAGAAGCCCCGGCUAACUUCGUGCCAGCCGCCGCGGUAACAC